CAAUUUAUUUUUUGUGGUGCAAAUUAGUGAUCCAAUUUUGUAAAAGAAUUCCUUCGCUAUAUCCUUCGAUUAAAACUGCAUUUUCUACUUUAUUUGUCUAUUGUUUCCUUUCUAUUUUUAGAAAAAUAGACUUUCUAGAUGUAAUUCUAUUUAAUGAUUAGCUUUUUCCCCUUGCAGGUGUGGUUUAUGGCGGGGUUUUCACACAUUUUUUUGUUGAUUUUUAUGAGGUUAUUGGAAUUGAUCUUUUGUCACAAUCUCUAUUGCUGGCUAUAGUUGAACUUGCUGAGGAUAGGCAUUGGAGGGUUCGACUUGCAAUAAUAGAGUACAUACCUUUAUUGGCAAGUCAGUUGGGUGUGGGAUUUUUUGAUGAUAAGCUUGGUGCUCUCUGUAUAUAGUGGUUGUAGGAUAAGUUCAUGAAUUUUUGACGCAGUUCAUCAGUUUCUAUAAUGAAAGUGGUUUCAAGACCCAUCGUUCAAUACCAAAAUAGAGGUAUUUUACAUUGUCUAUUGAAUUUCCCUUUUUCUGCUCUUGAUCGCUGUUGUUGGUUAAUUAUGUUGUUUGGAUUUAUUGUUUGAAUUCUGAAUCCUGAAGGAUUUGUUGUUUGGAUUUGUUGGUUGAUAAUUUUUGUAUUAUUUUUAAGAUUUCAUGUACUGGACACAAUGCUUCCCUUUUGCAAUAGUCAGCCUUCUAUUUGACAUGUAACUUUAUAGAGAUAUGUCCAAUUUUGGAGUUAAUAAUAAUGUAUUUUGGAGUUGAGCCCAUC